UGGGGAAUAUUGCACAAUGGGCGCAAGCCUGAUGCAGCAACGCCGCGUGAGUGAAGAAGGCCUUCGGGUCGUAAAACUCUGUCCUAGGGGAAGAACAAAUGACGGUACCCUGGGAGGAAGCCCCGGCUAACUACGUGCCAGCAGCCGCGGUAAUACGUAGGGGGCAAGCGUUAUCCGGAAUCACUGGGCGUAAAGGGUGCGUAGGUGGCUUGUCAAGUCAGAAGUGAAAGGCAACGGCUUAACCGUUGUAAGCUUUUGAAACUGAUAGGCUUGAGUGCAGGAGAGGUAAGUGGAAUUCCUAGUGUAGCGGUGAAAUGCGUAGAUAUUAGGAGGAACACCAGUGGCGAAGGCGACUUACUGGACUGUAACUGACACUGAGGCACGAAAGCGUGGGGAGCAA
rnacentral:rRNA from 1 species